rnacentral:rRNA from 1 species
CAGUAGCCACGGUAAUACGAAGGGGGCUAGCGUUGUUCGGAUUUACUGGGCGUAAAGCGCACGUAGGCGGAUCGAUCAGUCAGGGGUGAAAUCCCAGAGCUCAACUCUGGAACUGCCUUUGAUACUGUCGAUCUGGAGUAUGGAAGAGGUGAGUGGAAUUCCGAGUGUAGAGGUGAAAUUCGCAGAUAUUCGGAGGAACACCAGUGGCGAAGGCGGCUCAUUGGCUCAUACUGGACGCUGAGGUGCGAAAGCGUGGGGAGCAAGCAGGAUUAGAUACCCCUGUAGUCCCUGUCUCUUAUAC